rnacentral:rRNA from 1 species
CCUGCCAGUAGUCAUAUGCUUGUCUCAAAGAUUAAGCCAUGCAUGUGUAAGUAUAAGUAUUGUACAGCGAAACUGCGAAUGGCUCAUUACAUCAGUUAUAGUUUAUUUGAUAUUUGAAAGUUACAUGGAUAACCGUGGCAAUUCUACAGCUAAUACAUGCUUCAAAACCUGACUUCGGAAGGGUUGUAUUUAUUAGAUAUUAAACCAUCCCCUCGGGGCUGUGAUGAAUCAUAAUAACUGAUCGAAUCGAGGUUCGCCUUGAUAAAUCAUUCAAGUUUCUGCCCUAUCAGCUGUAGAUGGUAGUGUAUUGGACUACCAUGGCUAUUACGGGUAACGGAGAAUUAGGGUUCGAUUCCGGAGAGGGAGCCUGAGAAACGGCUACCACAUCUACGGAUGGCAGCAGGCGCGAAAAUUGCCCAAUCCCGAUUCGGGGAGGCAGUGACAAGAAAUAACAACUCGGGCAUUUUUAAUGCUUCGAAUUUGCAAUGGGAACAAUCUAAAUCU